rnacentral:rRNA from 1 species
UACGUAGGUGACCAGCGUUGUCCGGAUUUACUGGGCGUAAAGAGCGCGCAGGCGGUCGUUCAAGUCGAGUGUGAAAGCCCCCGGCUCAACUGGGGAGGGUCACUCGAUACUGAUCGACUGGAAGGCAGGAGAGGGAAGCGGAAUUCCAGGUGUAGCGGUGAAAUGCGUAGAUAUCUGGAGGAACACCGGUGGCGAAGGCGACAUCCUGGACCGGUAUUGACGCUGAGGCGCGAAAGCCAGGGGAGCAAACGGG